AACGAACGCUGGCGGCGCGCCUAAUACAUGCAAGUCGAGCGAGAAGACGUAGCAAUACGUUUGUAAAGCGGCGAACGGGUGAGGAAUACAUGGGUAACCUACCCUCGAGUGGGGAAUAACUAGCCGAAAGGUUAGCUAAUACCGCGUACGCUCCUUGGACUUCGGUUCAGGGAGGAAAGCGAUACCGUGGGUAUCGCGCUCUUGGAUGGGCUCAUGUCCUAUCAGCUUGUUGGUGAGGUAACGGCUCACCAAGGCUUCGACGGGUAGCUGGUCUGAGAGGACGAUCAGCCACACUGGCACUGCGACACGGGCCAGACUCCUACGGGAGGCAGCAGUAAGGAAUAUUGCGCAAUGGGCGAAAGCCUGACGCAGCGACGCCGCGUGAGGGAUGACGGCCU
rnacentral:rRNA from 1 species